rnacentral:lncRNA from 1 species
CCCCCAUUCACCUCUAUGUUGUCUUCUUUUCCUUCUCACCCUCUACCCCUUCCUUCUUUCCUCAGAGCUCCUGGAUCCCCUCUAGGUGUCAUCUGACAGUCUUUUCCUGGAGAGGGGGACUGAAGUGGAGAGGGAGGAGGGAAUAAAAAGGGAUGAAGGAGGAAAAGCAGACACUAACAGACAAGGAGUGAGGGAGACACAGUCGAAGGAAGAGAGACACACUAUCGCAGCUAUGCCCGAAGCCAAGAAGCCAGCAGCCAAGACAGAUAAGGCUGCAGCAGCACCUGCUGGUGAGGAAACUGUCCCAGGGGGACAGUCCGAGCUGACCGGACUAUUUGUAGAGAGGCCAGAGAGCACUACAGUAAUCAAAGGGAAGAACGUCACCUUUGUGGCUAAAGUGGACUCAUCUGACCUGCUGAGGAAGCCCAACAUGAAAUGGCUGAAAGGGAAGUGGCUGGACCUGGGCAGCAAGGCUGGCAAGCACGUGCAGUUUAAAGAGGCCUAUGACAGGAACUCCAAGGUCUACACAUAUGAGAUGAGCAUCAUCAAAGUAGUGGAAGGAGACGCAGGUGGCUACCGUUGUGAGGUCACCUCCAAAGACAAGUGUGACAGCUGUACAUUUGAAGUCACAGUGGAAGGUGAGCAGCCCGCCAACAUCCUGGAUGCCUUCAAGCGAUCGGGAGAUGCAGGAGAGGAUGCAGGUGACCUGGACUUCAGUGCCCUCCUCAAAAAAAGGGAAAAAAAGGCRAGGGACGAGCCCAAAGAGGAUGUGGAUGUGUGGGAGAUCCUGAAGGAUGCUAAGCCAUGUGACUAUGAGAAGAUUGCCUUUGACUAYGGCAUCACAGACCUCAGGGGCCUGCUCAAGAGACUGAAGAAGAUGAAGAAGGUGGAACCCAAGAAGAGUGACGCCUUCCUGAAGAAGCUAGAGCAAUGUUACUCUGUGGACAAGGGCAAGAGGACCCAGAUGCAUGUUGAGCUCCAUGACCCCAACGUUCAGGUCAAAUGGCUGAAGAACGGAGUGGAGAUCAAACCCUCUGCCAAGUAUGUGUUUGAGUGCGUGGGCAACAAACGGACACUCACCAUCAACAAGAGCAACCUGUCUGACGAUGCAGCCUAUGAGUGUGUGGUGGGAGAGGAGAAGAGCUUCACUGAAGUCUUUGUCAAAGAGCCCCCGGUCACCAUCACCAAGCUGCUGGACGAUGUGCAUGUAGUGGUGGGAGAGAAGGUGGAGUUUGAGUGUGAGGUGUCAGAGGAAGGAGCCAACGUCAAAUGGAUGAAAGAUGGAGUUGAGCUGACCAAGGAUGGGAAGUACAGGAUAAAGAAGGAUGGGAAGAAACACACUCUGGUCAUCAAUGAAGCAACCAUAGAGGACAUCGGAAUGUACUAUGUUUACACUAAUGGGGGAGAAUCCAAAGGAGAACUGGAAGUUCUGCAGAGUAUAGCUGACCUGUCGGUGAAGGCGUGUGAACAGGCCAUGUUCAAGUGUGAGGUGUCUGAUGAGAAGGUGGUGGGCAAGUGGUUCAAGGACGGUGUGGAGGUCAAACCCGGCAACCGCAUCAAGAUGUCACACAUCGGAAGGAUCCACAAGCUGACGAUUGAUGACGUGAAGCCGCAGGACGAAGGAAACUACACCUUUGUCCCUGAAGGAUACGCACUCUCCCUCUCCGCUAAACUCAACUUCAUUGACCCUCCCAAAAUCCACCUGGACACCAGUAGCACGGGCAGCAAGAACACCAUUGUUGUGGUGGCUGGCAACAAGCUCCGCCUUGAUGUGGAGAUCACAGGAGAGCCUGUCCCCACUGUGUGCUGGAUGAAAGGAGACACUGUGAUAUCGGAGGCGGAGGGCAGAGUGAGGGUGGAAACUAGGACCACUCUGAGCAGCUUUGUCAUUGAGGGGGCGGAGAGGCCAGACGAAGGCCAGUACUCUAUCAUAGUGACCAACCCAGCCGGAGAGGACAGGGCUGAGCUCAAUGUCAAGAUUGUUGAUGUGCCUAACCCUCCAGAGAACGUCAGAUGUAUGGGAGUUGGCGAGGACACAGCCACCAUUACAUGGGAUCCCCCCAAAUUUGACGGGGGUGCACCCAUCAAAGGCUACUUGAUGGAGAGGAAGAAGCAGGGUUCCUCCAGGUGGACCAAGCUGAACUUUGAGGUGUUUGAGUCAACCACGUACGAGGCUAAGAAGAUGAUUGAGGGUGUUUUUUAUGAGAUGAGAGUGUUUGCUGUCAACGGGAUCGGGAUCUCCCAGCCCAGCGGCAACUCAAAGCCCUUCAUGCCCAUAGCCCCUACCAGUGAGCCCACUCGUCUGACGGUGGAGGAUGUGACAGACAGCACCUGUGCCCUGAAGUGGCGUCCUCCAGAGAGGGUUGGAGCAGGGGGCGUUGACGGGUACAUAAUCGAGUGGUGCAAAGAAGGAGAGGAUAACUGGGUGGAAGCCAAUAAGGAGCCAGUGGACAAGAACACGUACCGUGUGAAGGGGCUGCCAACAGGAGAGAAGCUCUUGUUCAGAGUGGUGGCUAUGAACAUCGCUGGACGCAGCCCCCCCUGCACCAUGAAACAGUCUGUCAUCAUCAGAGAGAUCAUGGAGUACCCAAAGAUCCGCCUGCCUCGCCAGCUAAGAACCAAGUUCAUCAGGAAAGUGGGCGAGAAGAUCAACCUGGUCAUCCCCUUCCAGGGGAAGCCUCGCCCCGUGGUCAACUGGCUGAAAGAUGGUGAGCCCCUGGAGAAUAAGUCGGUGGGCAUCCGCACCAGUGACUUUGACACCAUCCUGUUCAUCCGCUCGGCAGAAAGGGACCACUCUGGGACGUACACCCUGUCUGUCCAGAUAGACAACAUGCAGGACAAGGCUGACAUACACAUCCAGAUCGUAGGUCACUCUCUCUUUCUUUACUGUGUAUCCACCUCACCUCUCCUUCUCUGCCCUCUCUACCCUCCUCCUCUGUUCUCAAAAUCUGCCUCUAUAUAUCCACAUAUCAUCCCUUUUUUUUCAACCUCUAGGUGGUUCACAGUGUACGAGCACAACCGCCGGCCCAGCUGCACAGCGUCUGACCUGUCAUGGGGAACGUACCUCCUUCCGUGUUCCCUCCCUCCUCUCUUAACUCCCCCUCUCCCGUCCUCUCCUCAGGCUAAGAUAGUGUGGAUGAAGAACAAGAUGAUCAUUGGGGAGGAUCCUAAAUUCUUGAUGCAGAACAACCAGGGGGUGUUGACCCUGAACAUCAGGAAGCCCGGCCAGUUUGACGGGGGCAAGUACUCCUGUAAGGCCAUCAACGACCUGGGGGAGGACGAGGUGGAGUGCAGGCUGGAAGUCCGAGGUACUGGGGCACAGACAUGGGUGGGACUGGAAGGGCAUAGGCCCACCCACUUGGGAGCCAGGUUUUUCCCCACAAAAGGGCAUGUUACAGAAAUGCCCACUAACAGGGAUGUAAACAAAUUUGUGCACAACAUUUAA